ACGUAGGGGGCAAGUGUUGUCCGGAUUUAUUGGGCGUAAAGAGCGUGUAAGCGGCCAGACAGGUCCGUUGUGAAAACUCGAGGCUCAACCUCGAGACGUCGAUGGAAACCGUCUGGCUAGAGUCCGGAAGAGGAGAGUGGAAUUCCUGGUGUAGCGGUGAAAUGCGCAGAUAUCAGGAAGAACACCUAUGGCGAAGGCAGCUCUCUGGGACGGUACUGACGCUGAGACGCGAAAGCGUGGGGAGCGAACAGGA
rnacentral:rRNA from 1 species